rnacentral:rRNA from 1 species
UGCAAGUCGAACGAUGAAGCUUUUAGCUUGCUAGAAGUGGAUUAGUGGCGCACGGGUGAGUAAGGUAUAGUUAAUCUGCCCUACACAAGAGGACAACAGUUGGAAACGACUGCUAAUACUCUAUACUCCUGCUUAACACAAGUUGAGUAGGGAAAGUUUUUCGGUGUAGGAUGAGACUAUAUAGUAUCAGCUAGUUGGUAAGGUAAUGGCUUACCAAGGCUAUGACGCUUAACUGGUCUGAGAGGAUGAUCAGUCACACUGGAACUGAGACACGGUCCAGACUCCUACGGGAGGCAGCAGUAGGGAAUAUUGCGCAAUGGGGGAAACCCUGACGCAGCAACGCCGCGUGGAGGAUGACACUUUUCGGAGCGUAAACUCCUUUUCUUAGGGAAGAAUUCUGACGGUACCUAAGGAAUAAGCACCGGCUAACUCCGUGCCAGCAGCCGCGGUAAUACGGAGGGUGCAAGCGUUACUCGGAAUCACUGGGCGUAAAGGGCGCGUAGGCGGAUUAUCAAGUCUCUUGUGAAAUCUAAUGGCUUAACCAUUAAACUGCUUGGGAAACUGAUAGUCUAGAGUGAGGGAGAGGCAGAUGGAAUUGGUGGUGUAGGGGUAAAAUCCGUAGAUAUCACCAAGAAUACCCAUUGCGAAGGCGAUCUGCUGGAACUCAACUGACGCUAAGGCGCGAAAGCGUGGGGAGCAAACAGGAUUAGAUACCCUGGUAGUCCACGCCCUAAACGAUGUACACUAGUUGUUGGGGUGCUAGUCAUCUCAGUAAUGCAGCUAACGCAUUAAGUGUACCGCCUGGGGAGUACGGUCGCAAGAUUAAAACUCAAAGGAAUAGACGGGGACCCGCACAAGCGGUGGAGCAUGUGGUUUAAUUCGAAGAUACGCGAAGAACCUUACCUGGGCUUGAUAUCCUAAGAACCUUUUAGAGAUAAGAGGGUGCUAGCUUGCUAGAACUUAGAGACAGGUGCUGCACGGCUGUCGUCAGCUCGUGUCGUGAGAUGUUGGGUUAAGUCCCGCAACGAGCGCAACCCACGUAUUUAGUUGCUAACGGUUCGGCCGAGCACUCUAAAUAGACUGCCUUCGUAAGGAGGAGGAAGGUGUGGACGACGUCAAGUCAUCAUGGCCCUUAUGCCCAGGGCGACACACGUGCUACAAUGGCAUAUACAAUGAGACGCAAUACCGCGAGGUGGAGCAAAUCUAUAAAAUAUGUCCCAGUUCGGAUUGUUCUCUGCAACUCGAGAGCAUGAAGCCGGAAUCGCUAGUAAUCGUAGAUCAGCCAUGCUACGGUGAAUACGUUCCCGGGUCUUGUACUCACCGCCCGUCACACCAUGGGAGUUGAUUUCACUCGAAGCCGGAAUACUAAACUAGU